ACGAACGCUGGCGGCGUGCUUAACACAUGCAAGUCGAACGGAAAGGCCCUGCUUUUGUGGGGUGCUCGAGUGGCGAACGGGUGAGUAACACGUGAGUAACCUGCCCUUGACUUUGGGAUAACUUCAGGAAACUGGGGCUAAUACCGGAUAGGAGCUCCUGCUGCAUGGUGGGGGUUGGAAAGUUUCGGCGGUUGGGGAUGGACUCGCGGCUUAUCAGCUUGUUGGUGGGGUAGUGGCUUACCAAGGCUUUGACGGGUAGCCGGCCUGAGAGGGUGACCGGCCACAUUGGGCCUGAGAUACGGCCCAGACGCCUACGGGAGGCAGCAGUGGGGAAUAUUGCACAAUGGGCGGAAGCCUGAUGCAGCAACGCCGCGUGUGGGAUGACGGCCUUCGGGUUGUAAACCGCUUUCGCCUGUGACGAAGCGUGAGUGACGGUAAUGGGUAAAGAAGCACCGGCUAACUACGUG
rnacentral:rRNA from 1 species